AUCACUUCUUAGCCUUUUGGCUAAGAUCAAGCGUAGUAUCUAUAGCUAUCCUGUAACUUGAUUUGUAUGUCCAUCUUUAACCCCAA
ensembl:snRNA U2 U2 spliceosomal RNA